CCAUUUGUGUACAAAGAAGGAAGACAGAGAGAUGGAAAGACAUCAAAGAAUGGGCAGGUCUGCCAAGAAAUGGUUUAUCCAAGGCUAAGUACAGAGAGGAAUAUAGAAGGGCUGUUGACAGAUCUUGUGUGGUGCCCCCAUGGUUCAACAGACUAAUUGAUUGAAAAUAAUACCAGGGCUAUGCUCCUUUGACCAUUGAGUUCCAGGAUGAAGAAUGAAAGACAGAGAGCAAUGUGAAGACAUCAAAGAAUGGGCAGAUCUGCCAUGAAAUGGUUUAUCCAGGGCUAAGUACAGAGAGGAAUAUAGAAGGGCUGUUGACAGAUCUUGUGUGGUGCCCCCAUGGUUCAACAGACUGAUUGAUAGGUAAUGGAAUUAGUCAUUCAAAAGACGGUGAGGAAAAGAAUGGUCGACAAACCUUGUGUGGUGCCUUAACAGUCCAUCAGACUAAGGGAUAGAUAAAGGUAGAUCUUGAUUACACUGCCUGGUUUUGUGGUUUGCACGAGACGGUUGACACAAUGAUCUGAAGUUCAAACUGCCAUUUUCUACUGUCCGCUGCAAGAUCUUGGCUGGAAUGUAAAAGGAAUGUCCAAAAUAUUUAAAUGACAAACAGGAUGGGAACUGAUAAUGAGGAAUAUGCUGAAACAGACAUCUGGCAUAUUCCUAUAAUCAGUAUCAUGGCCUUUGUAUACAACAAAAUUGAUUGGAACUCCUAGACUAGAAAUAUAAUUCAAGAUUUAAAUAAGGCACUGGUCAUAGUUUUAGA